UGGAAAUGAAAACCAGACACACUUCGCAAG
rnacentral:piRNA from 1 species